rnacentral:rRNA from 1 species
CGGCGACUAAUCUGAGUGCCUAGUGGGCCAUUUUUGGUAAGCAGAACUGGCGCUGUGGGAUGAACCAAACGUCGAGUUAAGGGGCCCCAUUGAAUGCUCAUUCAGAUCCCAUCGAAAGGCGUUGGUUGCUAUAGACAGCAGGACGGUGGCCAUGGAAGUCGGAAUCCGCUAAGGAGUGUGUAACAACUCACCUGCCGAAGCAACUAGCCCUUAAAAUGGUAUGGCGCUGAAGCAUUCUCCCGAUACUCGACCGCCGGGGCGNUAGCGACCACGUCCCAGAGACGUGGUCACGAAUCCCCCCGGUGAGUAAGAGGGUCGCAGUGGUGAGCGCUGAAGGGAUCCGGCGUGAGCCGGCCUGGAGCCACCACUGGCGCAGAUCUUGGUGGUAGUAGCAAAUACUCGAGAGAGACUCCCUUGAAGACCGAUGUGGAGAAGGGUUCCAUGUGAACAUCAGUUGGACAUGGGUUAGUCGCUCCUAAGCCCAAGGCUAAGGCCUGAUCCCAUGCUAGCGGC